GUCAGGUUGGCCGAGCAGUCUGAGGCGCGGUUCUCGAAAGGGAGCGUGGUUUCGAACCCCACACCUGACG